AUGGUUUAUAGCUCAGAGCUGUUUCCAUUCAGCAUUUGCUUUGCUCUGCUUACUUUUCUCUAAUUCUCCAUGGGUCUCUCUCUAAGGUGACAAACCAUAUCAAUAUUUCUUGAUGUGUGUCCCCAGAGGAGAAAAAAGUAUAUCUGUCUUUCCUCUUCUCAUGUACCUGCUGAUGAACUGGUAGACGGAAGCAACAGUGGGCAGAUGCAGAACAGAUGGUAAAUUGAUGGCCACAAUGUCUGUGAAACAACAAACACAAACUCAGUAUCAGAGCUGCAGAUUUCUAGGAGAACAUUUCCUGAUUACAGCUGCUGAACAUGUUCUAGGAUCUUGUAACUGCAUCCAUGGAAGGAUCGAGUCAGAUGGUUGCCUCUAAUUGCCUCCAGGGAUUUCCAUUAAACGUUCUAAAUGUGGAUCAAAUUAUGUCCUGAUAGAUGUAACAUGGGAGCAUAGCUUCCUCCAGAUGUUACUCUGAACACCUGUGGUGUGUUCAUGUCUGCUGGCCCACUUCUUCAUGAAUUUGAUACAAUAUCUAAACUUUACCUGUACACACUAUGCACAAAGUUAAGGA